rnacentral:rRNA from 1 species
GAUGAACGCUGGCGGCGUGCCUAAUACAUGCAAGUCGAGCGAACGGACGAGAAGCUUGCUUCUCUGAUGUUAGCGGCGGACGGGUGAGUAACACGUGGAUAACCUACCUAUAAGACUGGGAUAACUUCGGGAAACCGGAGCUAAUACCGGAUAAUAUUUUGAACCGCAUGGUGCAAAAGUGAAAGACGGUCUUGCUGUCACUUAUAGAUGCAUCCGCGCUGCAUUAGCUAGUUGGUAAGGUAACGGCUUACCAAGGCAACGAUGCAUAGCCGACCUGAGAGGGUGAUCGGCCACCCUGGAACUGAGACACCGUCCAGACUCCUACGGGAGGCAGCAGUAGGGAAUCUUCCGCAAUGGGCGAAAGCCUGACGGAGCAACGCCGCGUGAGUGAUGAAGGUCUUCGGAUCGUAAAACUCUGUUAUUAGGGAAGAACAUAUGUGUAAGUAAAUGUGCACAUCUUGACGGUAACUAAUCAGAAAGCAACGGCUAACUACGUG